rnacentral:sRNA from 1 species
AGACACAAGCUGAGCGCCAGCGCCGGGGUUCGGUGGCGUCUAGUGAGAUUUGGAGGAUCCAAGGAUUCUGUAGCUACAAUGUUGUCAAGACUUUUUCGAAUGCAUGGCCUCUUUGUGGCCUCCCAUCCCUGGGAAGUCAUAGUGGGGACAGUGACACUGACCAUCUGCAUGAUGUCCAUGAACAUGUUUACUGGUAACAAUAAGAUCUGUGGUUGGAAUUAUGAAUGUCCAAAGUUUGAAGAGGAUGUUUUGAGCAGUGACAUUAUAAUUCUGACAAUAACACGAUGCAUAGCAAUCCUGUAUAUUUACUUCCAGUUCCAGAAUUUACGUCAACUUGGAUCAAAAUAUAUUUUGGGUAAUAGUUUUACAUAUUUAACUUCUGGUGUCAUCAGAUUUUUGAUUUGCUGUGGAAAUAAACCUG